CUGAGCACAUUGUGGCUUAAUGCUAAGUCAGCCUAACUUGUUCUUUAUGAAAGAAAACUAAAGCAUAUGGCGAACUCAUCAGUUACUGGUGUUUCUCGUUAAUGAAUUACUUUUUUUUUGAGGCUAGCUGGCAUUGCGCAGCGCUUUAUUGACUACACUCGUUCAUCACAAUCUGGAACCAUCCGGCACUAAAACGUGUUUAUUUAACCUGAGGAUUUGCAUGGACAUGAACUGCAACAUGCUUAAUUUAUAUAGUUUAGUAUUUAACGUUUAAACACAUUUUUUAACACACUUGUGUGCAAGCUAUGGCCCCUGCAGGCUCGUUGUGCGCUACCAGCAGUGUCUCUCAAUGAUGAUAAUUACAGACCUGUACUGAAUGACUGUGACUGUAACUUAAUUAUUCUGAUGCGAGACACUUGUUAGCCGCAUAACUUUAUUACAACUGUAACAUCUCUGUAUCGGCCACCUCGUGCCGACGGAGCGGCCACGUGUUUUCGGGAGUUAGCCUCCCAGCUAACAUCGCGCCAUGCUAAAAGUCGGUGUCUUCUCUGGUCAACAGAUGGCGAGCAAACCUUCAGAGACCUUCUUUACGAGUCUUAAAGACAACGUGGUCGAUCAUCCCCCUCCUUAAACCCGAGCUCUUUACAUGAGAUGUUCGUGGGUGAUUGCAGAAGAGCAGCCAGAAUGAAGGACAUCAGCAGGUGGUCCUGCACUGUUCCAUACUCAACUCUGCCAAUGAAGAACAUCAUGAUUAUUAACUCCUCGCCAUGAUUGUGGUCUAGGAAACGGUGUACUGACUUUGAAAGAUGAUGUCAUCGUCUUAACAGUUUGUCCAGGAUCGUGCUGCCUGACAAGCAAAGCAAUCUGAAUCAUGAUGUCAACCUCUAUGCUGAACGAAGUUUGAGGUCAUCCGGAUUGCCAUGAGUUGUUUGGUUCUGACCUCUGGUGUGGUGACCAGCAGACUCGUCCCACUGCAGCAGGAAUGGUGAUUUGUACUCUGGAUCGUGAAGCUGGGAAUGGGCCGAUUGUUGCAGGAUCUGCUUUGGGGUUGAAGGUUGGGGCACAUCGUGGACCUGUUGUUGUGAUGCUGUUACAAGAAUACUAUUUCAGAAACUUAUAGAUUAAAUAUCUUGCACAGGC